CUCCGCUUGGUGUAGUUGGUUGUAAGUUCAAACUCAUAUCUCAAUUUCAAAGUUAUCUCAGUCACUAACACCGCUUAGUAUCACGUUCGACUGUAAUAUACUUUGUAAUCGAAAGGUCCCUAGUUCGAUUCUGGGAGCGGAGA